UUGUGGGGGGAAAAAGACAGCUACAUAUUAAUAAGUACGACUAGGCAAAACAGCUGUCACUAUUACAUUGUGUAAUAACAAGUCACUACUGAGCAUAAGCAAAGCUGGAAGAUUCUGUGUAUGUGCUGCAGAAAUAAAAGUGAAAGUAACUUGCUCAUAAAGAUCCAUUGCUGCCAUUUAUAAAACCAGCAGUUGAAAAGGAGAUUCAAGCGAGGAACAUGCCAGUGUUGUAGGGCAUUUCAAAUGGAUUAUUCCCCUUGAUUAGAUAUCAUAACAGUGGAGUGGAUUAUAAAUUGGGACUCAGCACUAAGGAUGGACAAAAGACAACCAAGGAGAAGGUGCAAUAUGGUGGGCCCAGAUGGGAAUUAAAUGAUCCGACUUCGUUUUAGAGCUAAUGGAGGACAUUACAAGGAAGCAGAACACACAGUAAGAAAUGAUUUAAUAAACAAUAGAUUAUGGAUUAUUUUUUAAGAAUAAGAAUAGUGUCACUUUAAGUACAGUAUGUUCUCUUGGAUACUUAGAAAAACACCCCUCAUUUUUUAAAGUCAUCUCACCAUUCAACACACUGUUCAGGCUCAACUGGAUUUGCAACCUUUAAAUAUACAGAUUUCUCUACUUGAGAGGCAGUUACUUUUUUUUUUUUUUUUUUAAUCCAAACUUUUUUUAUUGACAAGGAAAAAUAGAAAAAGUGACCAUACAUUGCUGAAAAAUAUAAAUAAAUAAUAAAGGAUAUACAUGACAACCAAUUUCACGAGCAUAGUACAUAAGGUAGAUAAUGAGAUACAGACCAUCACAUCAUAUACGUAGCAAAUACAUGUAGCGCUGGUCUC